rnacentral:rRNA from 1 species
GUGGGGAAUUUUGCGCAAUGGGGGAAACCCUGACGCAGCAACGCCGCGUGAGUGAUGAAGGCCUUCGGGUUGUAAAGCUCUUUGAGUGGAGACGAAGCCCUGCAGGGUAAAUAAUCCUGUGGUCUGACGGUAUCCACAGAACAAGUUCCGGCUAACUACGUGCCAGCAGCCGCGGUAAUACGUAGGGAGCGAGCGUUGUUCGGAAUUAUUGGGCGUAAAGAGCGCGUAGGCGGUUUGGUAAGUCUGGUGUGAAAUCCCGGGGCUUAACCCCGGAACUGCACUGGAUACUGCCAGGCUUGAGUGCGGGAGAGGAGAGUGGAAUUCCCAGUGUAGAGGUGAAAUUCGUAGAUAUUGGGAGGAACACCGGUGGCGAAGGCGGCUCUCUGGACCGCAACUGACGCUGAGGCGCGAAAGCUAGGGGAGCAAACGGGAUUAGAAACCCUUGUAGUCC